rnacentral:rRNA from 1 species
GACGAACGCUGGCGGCGUGCUUAACACAUGCAAGUCGAACGGAAAGGCCCCCUUGUGGGGUACUCGAGUGGCGAACGGGUGAGUAACACGUGAGUAACCUACCCUUGACUUUGGGAUAACUUCAGGAAACUGGGGCUAAUACCGGAUAGGAGCUCCUGCUGCAUGGUGGGGGUUGGAAAGUUUCGGCGGUUGGGGAUGGACUCGCGGCUUAUCAGCUUGUUGGUGGGGUAGUGGCUCACCAAGGCUUUGACGGGUAGCCGGCCUGAGAGGGUGACCGGCCACAUUGGGACUGAGAGACGGCACAGACUCCUACGGGAGGCAGCAGUGGGGAAUAUUGCACAAUGGGCGGAAGCCUGAUGCAGCAACGCCGCGUGCGGGAUGACGGCCUUCGGGUUGUAAACCGCUUUCGCCUGUGACGAAGCGUGAGUGACGGUAAUGGGUAAAGAAGCACCGGCUAACUACGUG